rnacentral:rRNA from 1 species
CCAGACUCCUACGGGAGGCAGCAGUAGGGAAUCUUCGGCAAUGGGCGAAAGCCUGACCGAGCAACGCCGCGUGAAUGAAGAAGGCCUUCGGGUUGUAAAAUUCUGUUAUAAGGGAAGAAAGGUGAUAGGAGGAAAUGACUAUCAAUUGACGGUACCUUAUGAGAAAGCCACGGCUAACUACGUGCCAGCAGCCGCGGUAAUACGUAGGUGGCAAGCGUUAUCCGGAAUUAUUGGGCGUAAAGAGCGCGCAGGUGGUUAAUUAAGUCUGAUGUGAAAGCCCACGGCUUAACCGUGGAGGGUCAUUGGAAACUGGUUGACUUGAGUGCAGAAGAGGGAAGUGGAAUUCCAUGUGUAGCGGUGAAAUGCGUAGAGAUAUGGAGGAACACCAGUGGCGAAGGCGGCUUCCUGGUCUGCAACUGACACUGAGGCGCGAAAGCGUGGGGAGCAAACAGGAUUAGAUACCCCUGUA